UGUGCAAGUGAUGAUAAAAUAGACAGGGACAUCAGCACUCCCAUGUCGGAGUAUGAUGAUUUGCCUUUGGGAAUCUCUUUGAUGCACA